AUGAAGGUAAAGGGAGAGAUUACAGCACUAUCGUAACGCCGAAGGAGUAAGCCGAAGCAUCGGUGAAUCUCUCAGGCAAAAGGACUUUUACCGGACG
rnacentral:ncRNA from 2 species